rnacentral:lncRNA from 1 species
GCUACAUGUUUCUUUUAAAGGGCUGAUUGUUUCAGGGAAGAUACUUGAUCUAGAGAUUUGCUGAGAUUGACCCUGAGUGCAUGUGUGUUCCAGUAUCUUAUUUGUCUUCUACAUUUCAGUAAAGCCUGGAGGUCCUUGGCAGCUGAGCUAAGGGCUGUACACACAUAACAAGGCAAGUGGUCUUCUCUGCAGUUCAAGAAGAGAGAAACAAGAGCUGGAAACCAAGAACAGUUGUAUAAAGCACAGCAUGUGCUUGCUGAAGGAGGAUGUACUUCUGUUCCACAGCCCAUCCUUUAGUAGAAGGACUGCAAGCCUACUGGUGCUGACAGCAGAUGGCUCAGAAUAUUCUCACAGGAAAGUGUGA